AAGACUCACGAAAGAUCACACCAUUCCAUUCUGUGGUAACGCGUAGUGACCAACAGUUUGGCGUUGGUUGUGGGGUAAUGGGAGUGAUUCACCGGCUCGGAAAUUAACAACCUAUCUUCCCUCGGAAUUUCAAGAUUGACCAGCCUGGCGUGCUCUGAGCAAAGUUUGGACAGACCGGAAGUUGUAACACGUCACCGCAGAACUCUAUCAAGCCCAGGCGUUUUGUGGCCACUCUAGUGAGAAACAGAAGACCGUCAUUUGUCCUAGUUUGAGAAGACAAACCGAUCACCCCCUCUACCCCUCUACACCGCUGACGCAAGAAGCUGUUAAAGGCCAGGACGAAGGAACGAAAGAAAAACGAAAAGGAAAUAAGUAAAAAGAAAAAGAGAACAAAAGAAACUUAGAAAUAUCUGAGCUGAAUUUUAGAAAUCUAGACGCGAAUACAGAAGGACAAGAAGAGUCUUUGAGUCGAGUCAACUCGGGCGUGAAGCAAAGAAGGAAAGAAAUUCAGUAACGCAGAGAGAAGCAGACAAAAGCAGA